CAAAGCCUAGACUGCAGCUACCU
rnacentral:miRNA from 1 species